CUUCUUGGAUGAGUUGCGAACGGGUGAGUAACGCGUAGGUAACCUGCCUUGUAGCGGGGGAUAACUAUUGGAAACGAUAGCUAAUACCGCAUAACAAUGGGUGACUCAUGUCAUUUAUUUGAAAGGGGCAAAUGCUCCACUACAAGAUGGACCUGCGUUGUAUUAGCUAGUAGGUGAGGUAACGGCUCACCUAGGCGACGAUACAUAGCCGACCUGAGAGGGUGAUCGGCCACACUGGGACUGAGACACGGCCCAGACUCCUACGGGAGGCAGCAGUAGGGAAUCUUCGGCAAUGGGGGCAACCCUGACCGAGCAACGCCGCGUGAGUGAAGAAGGUUUUCGGAUCGUAAAGCUCUGUUGUAAGUCAAGAACGAGUGUGAGAGUGGAAAGUUCACACUGUGACGGUAGCUUACCAGAAAGGGACGGCUAACUACGUGCCAGCAGCCGCGGUAAUACGUAGGUCCCGAGCGUUGUCCGGAUUUAUUGGGCGUAAAGCGAGCGCAGGCGGUUUGAUAAGUCUGAAGUUAAAGGCUGUGGCUCAACCAUAGUUCGCUUUGGAAACUGUCAAACUUGAGUGCAGAAGGGGAGAGUGGAAUUCCAUGUGUAGCGGUGAAAUGCGUAGAUAUAUGGAGGAACACCGGUGGCGAAAGCGGCUCUCUGGUCUGUAACUGACGCUGAGGCUCGAAAGCGUGGGGAGCGAACAGGAUUAGAUACCCUGGUAGUCCACGCCGUAAACGAUGAGUGCUAGGUGUUGGAUCCUUUCCGGGAUUCAGUGCCGCAGCUAACGCAUUAAGCACUCCGCCUGGGGAGUACGACCGCAAGGUUGAAACUCAAAGGAAUUGACGGGGGCCCGCACAAGCGGUGGAGCAUGUGGUUUAAUUCGAAGCAACGCGAAGAACCUUACCAGGUCUUGACAUCCCGAUGCUAUUUCUAGAGAUAGAAAGUUACUUCGGUACAUCGGUGACAGGUGGUGCAUGGUUGUCGUCAGCUCGUGUCGUGAGAUGUUGGGUUAAGUCCCGCAACGAGCGCAACCCCUAUUGUUAGUUGCCAUCAUUCAGUUGGGCACUCUAGCGAGACUGCCGGUAAUAAACCGGAGGAAGGUGGGGAUGACGUCAAAUCAUCAUGCCCCUUAUGACCUGGGCUACACACGUGCUACAAUGGUUGGUACAACGAGUUGCGAGUCGGUGACGGCAAGCUAAUCUCUUAAAGCCAAUCUCAGUUCGGAUUGUAGGCUGCAACU
rnacentral:rRNA from 1 species